UACAGAGGGGGCAAGCGUUGUUCGGAAUUACUGGGCGUAAAGGGCGCGUAGGCGGCCGCCUAAGUCAGAUGUGAAAUCCCUCGGCUCAACCGGGGAACUGCGUCUGAUACUGGGUGGCUUGAAUUCGGGAGAGGGAUGCGGAAUUCCAGGUGUAGCGGUGAAAUGCGUAGAUAUCUGGAGGAACACCGGUGGCGAAGGCGGCAUCCUGGACCGACAUUGACGCUGAGGCGCGAAAGCCAGGGGAGCAAACGGG
rnacentral:rRNA from 1 species